CCAGAGAAAGAUCCAGGUUUCAGCAAUUCAUGAAAAAACUGAGGCACAGAGAGAUUGAGAGACGUGUUUGUGGACACACAGCUGAGAGAUGGCAGAGAUGGGAUUCGAACCCAGGCAGCCUGGCUCCAGUGUCAAUGCUGACGUUGCCUCCCGUGUAGUGGAGAGAGCCACAGCAGCCAGGACCUGAGAGGGGAGAUGACCAAGAUGAAGCAGCCCGAGAGAGACAGGAGUAGAACCAGGAGAGGAUGCCAUCGUGGAAGCUACAGAGAAGUGCUUGGA